GGGAAUGUGGCUUAGUGGUAGAGUGCUUGUCUAGCAUGCAUGAAGCCCUGGGUUUGAUUCCUCAGCACCA
rnacentral:tRNA from 1 species